CACUGAGAUAAGGAAAAACACUUCCAGUUUAUCUAGAGGGAGGGGAACAAUCCAGCAAGAGACAGGUGAGCAGGAGGACAGGUGAGCAGGAGGACAGGUGGAGCAGGAAGACAGGUGAGCAGAAGGACAGGUGAGCAGGAGGACAGGUGAGCAGGAGGACAGGUGAGCAGAAGGACAGGUGAGCAGGAGGACAGGUGGAGCAGUGAAUAAGAAACAAGAAAAGCAGGAAAUGAAACGAAUGAAGCUGAAAUCCGUUCAGACCUCCA